UGGGAAAAACAAAAUAAAUAAAACAUUUAAAUAAAAAGAAAUACAAGUGUUAAUCCCAAAAUUUAUACCAAUUCAUUAAAAUAGCCAAUUAGCCGCCAAAGUUAAUAGAAAAUUUGGGCCAAAACCGCAAGAUUAAUAAAAAAACAAGAAGAAAAGAAUAUUGCAAUCUCUCAAAAUUUUAUUUCAUCUUCAUUCCCUGUUCAACAGCGCCCUAGCAACGAUAGAUAAUCAAUUAGGUUUAAGCAAAAAUCUAUAAUUCCGUCUCCAUAAUUUCAUCAGAAUCUCGCGCAAUUUUAUUGAAGUUUCGUUAGAUCAGUUCGUCUCGCGCAAUUAUUUCAUCUGAAAUCAAGUAAUCUCGAGCAAUUUCAUCAUGAUAUUGGGUUUUAUUGUAUUCGUGCUUCUAAUUUCAGGUACUUAAUGAUUUGUGAUGGAUGGUUUUCUAAUUUUUUGGUUAUUUAACCUUUAAUUUUCAAUAAUGUAUGAAUGAAAGCGUUUAUUUUUCAAUUUAAUUGUGAAUGGUUAUUGGCUUUGUGUUUGAUAUGGUUCUAUUUUUUAAUUGAAUUUUUUUAUUUGGGUAUUUCAAGUUUGGUUUGUGAUUCGGAAUUUUGCUAUUGGUUUUUUUUUUUUUUUUUUUUAGUUCAUGCAUGUCGUAGAGGACAUUGUAGUUGCUAUUUCUAAACCUUGUUUGCAUUGUGUGAGAAGUUUUAGAAUUGCCGUUAGCUGAUUUAUGUAUAGAGUAAAAACCGAAUGAACAAUGUUAUAUUUUUUUAGUCUAAUGGCUAUUGUACUGUUGAGUAUAAGAUCAGCCAUCACCCCUACAUCUUCCUAGUUCACCAAGGUGAUUAUUGAUUAACUAGAUUGUAUUGUUAUUGUCAACAUUAAAAUGAAUAAAGAAAGUGUAAAAACUAAUCUGAAAGGUAGAUUAUUAUGUCUGAUAACUUGAUACAGUAUGUUCUAAAAACAGAGAAAACAUCUCAAAAUUUGGUUCAUAUACUUGGUAUAUAUGUAAGCGUGCUACCUGGAGUAAAAAGAAGUUGAGACAUGAUGAAAUUAAACUGGAAAAACAUGGCAUGUUUUGAAUUGAUCAGUUAAAUUAACAUAGUAUAUGAUCCAUAAACAUAAUUGCCACCACCAUAUACUAGAAUGAAAAGAAAUCUAGGCACCCAACAAUUAAAAUAAAAAAUGAAAUCAUAUCUUAUAAAGAAAACUAGAGAUAAAAGUAGAGGUUUCAUUGUAAAAUUAAGCAGAUUGAUAAUUGCAAGAAGAAGAGCAAGCAUUGAACUAGAGUAUAUUGCAAUCAUAGUAUGUGGUAAUGUGAUAAUGGGUGAGAAGCUCAUUAUUUGGAUUUGACGAACUAUUAUUAAAGUGUUUUAUUUUUCUAUUUCAAAGAGAAUUAUCACCAAGAGGAUAGAAAUAACUACUCCUCAAGAUGCCUACUCCUCAAGCAGAACAAUACUUCAUAAAGUUGGCAUAUUCUCCUGGUCCUGUGUUUUGUGGAUAUCAAUAAAGGGGAAGGUGGUUUAAAAUGCUCUUUCCCUUUGUCGCUGUUAGGUGGGUGGUUUUUACCAUUGAAUAUCGCUAUUAAAUUCUUGGAGUUCCCAUUCCCCUCUGUUUUAUUACCCCUCCCAAUGUGGAACUUGCCCUUUACCUCUUUAUCCUCUACCCAUCUUCUCUACUUUUCAUCUUCCAUUCUCACUCCAUAGUCCAAACCAAUUCAUCCUUGAAACUUUGGUGAAGAUCUGACAGAUUGUAUAAGCCUACCUAGAACUAUGAGCAGAAGUGUAUACCUCUGCCUUAUGUAUAAAAAAAAAAGCGAUUUGCACUUUUUAGAUGAUAGUAACCUAAAGACAGGGAUAAUGUUUCCUUAAUUAAGCUGUUUUCUUCUAUGAAGUAUAGUAGUCUUCUAAUCUAAGCAUACAUUUGGACAUACUUGUUUGAUUUUUAUUUUUAUCAUGUAUACAAGGUUAAAUUUAUGGGUGUUUAUUUCCAUGGAUAUUCUCAUUCCUUUUAGAAAUGUUAAAGUUAUAUGCCAAUAUAUAUUUUAAAUCUUUAAAUUCACUAUGUUUAAAUUUUGAUAAAGGAGACGAAAUGAGUAGUUGGACCAACUUCUUACAAUCUAGUCAUGAGUAUGAGAAAGGUGUAGAGGAUUAUUUAGAUAAAGCGUUCUCUACACGAGCAAUUGGAGAUCAAAUUACUUGCCCGUGUAAGGCGUGAUAUCACCGCUUUUGGCAUCGUAAAGAGACAGUGUUCAAUCAUUUGAUUGCAAACGGAAUUGAGCCUGGCACCGAAGGAUGGCAUUGCUAUGAAAAGGGCAUGUCAACAACAUCAAAUACUAAAAAGGAUGUUGAAGACAUGCAUGACGAUAUUGAACGUCAGAUAUAUGAUGUUCAUAGAGAUGUGGCAGAAAGGUAUGAAGGUGUUGGAGAUGAGCCUAAUGAUGAGGCUAAGAAGUUUUAUAAGUUAGUUGAAGAUGGAAAACAAGAGUUAUAUCCUGGGUGCAAAAAAAUUUCAAAGCUAUCAUUUCUUAUUCGUUUUUACCUUUUGAAGUGUACCCAUGGGUUAACUAAUAUAGCAAUUUCAGAGUUUUUAGAGCUUUUUCGAGAAGUGUUACCAGAUGCAUCCAAUUUUCCUAACUCUUUUAAUGAGGCAAAGAAAUUGAUAAAAGAUCUGGGUCUUCAUUAUGACAAGAUUGAUGCAUGUCGUAAUGAUUGUAUGCUAUAUUGGAAGGAGCAUGAAGCUGCCACGUCUUGCUAUGUUUGUCAUGCUCCAAGGUGGAAAGAAACACAGACUAAAUCCCAAGAAGAUAUUAGCAAUCAACCAUCUAAGAAAGUGCAUCAAGUCCCUGAAAAAUUUCUUUAGCAUUUCCCUCUUAAACCAAGGCUUCAAAGGUUGUACAUAUGUUCAGAAACAACAAAGCUAAUGAGGUGUCACGAUGAAGAAAGAAAUAAGGAUGAGUUAUUGAGGCAUCCUGCAGAUGGUGAGGCAUGGAAAGAGUUUGACCAAAAGUACCCAGAUUUUCCUAAUGAGGCACAUAAUGUUCAUUUGGGCCUCGCAAGUGACGAAUUCAAUCCAUUUCGAACUAUGAGCACACAACAUAGUACAUGGCCUGUUGUUCUAAUUAAUUAUAACUUACCACCAUGGUUGUGCAUGAAGCCAGAAUUCUUAACGCUAUCACUCCUUAUUCCCGGGCCCACCUCUCCUGGAAAUGACAUUGAUGUCUAUCUUCAACCAUUGGUUCAAGAACUCAAAGAUUUGUGGGUGUAUGGGUUAGACACCUAUGAUGCGGAGAAACGUCAAACAUUUAAGAUGCAUGCAGCUUUACAAUCAACGACCAGCGACUUACCAGGUUAUGCUAUGUUAUCGGGUUGGAGCACCAAAGGGAAGUUUGCAUGCCCUUAUUGUCACUGCGAGACUGAUCAUCAUCACUUGAGUAAUAGUAACAAAUCCUGUUAUUAGGCUCAUCGUCGAUGGUUAGAUGAAAAUCAUCCUUGGCGGCAUGAUAUGGUGUCUUUUAAUGGGGAAAAGGAAGAGAGGACAUCUCCAGAUCCUUUAAUAGGGGAUCGAAUUUCAAGCUUGUUGGAAAACUGGGAAAACAAGUUUGGAAAGUUACAACCAAAGAAGAAAUAUGUAGAUUGUCCUUGGAGAAACUCCUCUGUCUUCCACACUUUGCCUUAUUGGAAAGAUUAUGGGUGUCGUCAUCAUUUGGAUGUCAUGCACAUUGAAAAAAACGUUUGUGAUAAUGUGCUCGCAACUUUGUUAGACAUACCUGGAAAGUCAAAAGAUCAUCAUAAGGCUCGUUUAGAUCUGCAAGAAAUUGGUAUAAGGGGAGAACUACAUCCUGUGGAUGCAGAUGAUGAGCGAUAUGUUUUGUUGCCCAAAGCUUCAUUCUCAAUGACGAAGGAAGAGAAAAUCAUAUUUUGUAGUGUUUUGAAGAAGGAAAAGCUGCCCCAAGGUUGUGCAUCAAAUAUUGCAAGGUGUGUACAAGUCAAGAAGGGGAAAAUAUCAGGGUACAAGAGUCAUGAUGCUCAUAUAAUAAUGCAACACUUGCUUCCGCCAGCAAUUAGGAAAACUUUACCAAAGCAUGUUGCUUUACCUCUUAUGAGAUUGAGUGCCUUUUUUAGGGAAAUAUGCAAGAGAGUCAUCAAUCCGAAAGAUUUGGAUCGCCUUCAAGCAGGAAUUAUUGAGACUCUUUGUGAACUAGAAAGAAUAUUUCCACCUUCUUUUUUUUACAUAAUGAUCCACUUACCGAUUCAUUUGGUUGAUGAAAUCAAGCGUGGUGGACCGGUGUGUGAUUGGUGGAUGUACCCUAUAGAAAGGUACCUCGGAAAGUUAAAAUCAUAUGUUAAAAACCGAUGUCGCCCGAGGCUUCUAUAGCAGAAGGUUAUUUGGCUGAAGAGUGCUUGAUAUUUUGCUCUAGAUAUUUUAAUGCUAGUGUAAAGAAGCGAUCUAAGUGGUUUAACAAAAGUCAAGAGAAAACUGAUGAAAUUGAUGAAGAAUCACCUUUAUUCCCUAAGGCAGGUUAUCCUCUUGGGAGGAAAAAGAAAGGGAAGAAGAAAGGGAAGGCAUACACUCUUGAUUCAGACACAAUGGCUCUAGCACAUCGUUAUGUGUUGUUUAAUUGUCAAGAUGACCAAGUUGAGAAUUACAUCAAGUGAGUAAUUUUUUCAAUAUCUUAUCCAUUGUGUUUAAAUUUAUAUUAUUUUAUUACCUUACUUAUAUGGCUAAUACUAUGAAGGGAACAUGAAGAGUUUAUGAAGAAGAAGUCUAGAGACAAACGAAAAAGAAGGUGGAAAGAGGCACAAGAGUAUAGCAAUGAAUUUAUGGUUUGGUUUAGAGAAAAGGUUGUGGUGGAUAAUGUCCCGGAUCAUAUUAAGUGGCUAUCAAAAGGUCCUUCUACUAUUGCAAGGAGGUACACCGGAUAUUUUUGUAAUGGAUAUAAGUUCUACACUAGAGAUCAUGAUGAAAGGUGUAAAACUCAAAAUAGCGGACUCUCUUUAACCGCUUUGACUCCAAGCUUCGCAAGUAGCAAGGAUCACAAUCCUGUUCUUGGUAAUGUCACAUAUUAUGGGGCUAUAAAAUCGAUAAUUGAGGUCGAUUAUUGGAGUGCAUUUAGUGUUGUGUUGUUUGAGUGUGAUUGGUUCCAUGUGGAAGUAGAUGAUUAUGGACUCACUCGGGUUAACUUUAAGAAAUUGUGUUCUAAAGAUGAUCCUUUUGUCUUGGCAUCACAAGUGCAUCAAGUGUUCUACACUCAAGACGGCCUUGAAGACGAUUAGCAUUAUGUGCACAGAAAUUUGCCAAGAGAUUUUUUUAUGCCGAGGGGCAAUCUGAACACACAUAUAUGAAUGAAGUUCGUGAACCCGCAGAGGAUGUAAUUCCGGCUACAGAUAAUGAUGUACACCAAAUUUGUGUAGAAAGCUGCUUAUGACAAAGUUGAGGUGCCUGUUGGCCGUGAAAUGAGAGAUCAUAAACGCGAAGAAAGUUCCGAUAUAGAUGACACUGAUUGGGAUUGGAUGGAACCGUCAAAGUGACAUGCAUGUUUAGAUCUUUUUUUUUUUAUGUAUAAUAAUUGUCCUUCUUUUGAACUUAUUAUUUGGAUUUGACAAACUAUUAUUGAAGUGUUCUAUUUUUCUGUUUGAACUUGUUUUCUUAUGAAAUUGAUAAGUUAAUUGUUAAAUUUAGUGUUGUGCUACAGAAUUUACUCUAACCUUUAUUUAAAUACUUUAAAUUUAUUUGAGGUUUGAUAUGAUAGUGAUAGUAUUUACAUUUGACAGUUUUGAGUUGUGUGGUAUCUUGGUGCUCCGGUGCUUUUAGGUGCUUUUAAUGUGCUCAAGUGCUCAGGUGAUAUGACCCACUCUUUCUGUGCUCAUUCUAUGUUGUUUCUGUGCUCAAGUGCUUUUUUCAGGUUACGUAUGUGCAUAUUGGCUUUAAUAUUUUUUUGUUUAUGUAUAUCAGCUACAUAUCACAGUUAUUAUAAUUUUUUGGACCAAGUGGUCUUCAGCUACAUGCCUUGAGCUACUACAGUCUGUAUUCUUGGCUUAUUACCUAGUUUUCGCUGUGAUUUAAAUGUAUUAUAGUGAGGUUGAUAAGGAUUAUACAGGGCAGGUUGCAGCCAAUUCAAGGCUCAGAAACAUUUGUCACUCUAUGAACUUGAUCUUGGUCCUAUCAUGUCUCAGUAGUCAGAACCAUGAUUUAACAUAGUACCAAUCACUCCACUUGUUUUCUUAUGAAAUUUAAUCUUCCUAGCAGUCUAAGUCUAAGUAUUAGCAAUAUUAAUAUGUACCUCAGACUAUUAGUUGAUCAGAGUUGAGUAUAAGGUGAUCAUAGUAUUAUAGUGAGGUUGAUAAGGAUUAUACAGGGCAGGUUGCAGCCAAUUCAAGGCUUAGAAACAUUUGUCACUCUAUGAACUUGAUCUUGGUCCUAGCAUGUCUGAGUAGUCAGAACCAUGAUUUAACAUAGUACCAAUCACUCCACUUGUUUUCUUAUGAAAUUUAAUCUUGCUAGCAGUCUAAGUCUAAGUAUUAGCAAGAUUAAUAUGUACCUCAGACUAUUAGUUGAUCAGAGUUGAGUAUAAUGUGAUCAUAGUAUUAUGUACACUGAAAUUUUCAUUGCAUUGCUCUUUCUGACAAAUAAUAUGAUAUGCAUGCUUUUUAUGUGCUCAAGUGCUUUUAUGAUAUACAAUUAGGUGCUCAGGUGCUUUUUCUGUGCUCAAGUGCUUAGGUGAUAUGCAUGCUCUUUAUGUGCUCAAGUGCUUUUAUUAAUAAUUGUAUGUAAUUGUGGUAUUUUUAUUACCUUUGACUCAGUCUUGGGUCAGUCAGGUGAAUAUAAAGUCAGGGCUGAUAGUCCUAUGCUCUAAAUUCAAACUGAUAUGAGCUGAAUUUUUACUUUGCUUGAUCUGAUUAGCUAUGAGGGAAAGUUCAUAUAUGACUAGCUACUUAGCUAACUGAUAUUGACUUCACAUAAGAAACUGAGCACAGAAACUGAGAAACUCAGCACCUGACUACAAAUUCGAGCACCUGAAAAACUAAGCACAGAAAGAGCAACUCAGCACCUGACUUCACAUAAGAACUAGGACAUACAUGCCAACUAACCACCAUAAGAAUUCAGAAUAUUAGCAAGAUUUAUUUACCUCAGACUCGGCUUUAUUCAAAUUGCUAUUAAUCUAAGGUAAAGUAAUCUUGCUAAUACUCAAUUAUAGCCAGCUAUAUGCAAGGACUCAGCCUAAACCGGAUGUUCGCUUCACUUAUGCUAGAAGGAUCAGGAAAUAACCAAAAGUUAGAAGUUGCUAAGCUGUCAGGUGGUUAAAUUCAGUUUUGGGGAGAAGGGUAGAUUGGUAAUCUCAGGGAAAGUUUGUUAGGAGUUUGUUAUUGUAGGCUGGCAUGCUUAGGGAGUGCUGAAGUUUGUUUAUGGCUUAAUUUUAGGGUAUUAAUAGGGAAUGAGGGAAAGGGGAAUGUAUCAAAGAAAUUAAUUAAUAAAGUUCUUUUGGGAGAGCUCCUUCCUCUCAAAAGAAGGUUGUAUUGUUGGAUACUCUGUUCAAUAAUACUACUAACAUUCCCUUGAUUGCCUCUGUUUAUGUCAUUUACAGCUUGCUUCCUCACUGAUCUUUUACUAUUCUGUAGCACUAUAAUCACACAAUUCAAUACAUUGAAUCUAUAUUAGUAGGAAUAGGAGGAUAGUGCUCAUAUAUGACUAGCUAACGGAUAUUGCAUGCAUUAAGUUCAAACUAAAGGUUUUCUCCCUACAUGGAUCAGAUGCAAACAUUGCUUGAUCUGAUUAGCCACGAGGGAAAUUUCAUAUAUGACUAGCUAACUAAUAUUGCAUGCAUUGACAGCUUAUUACCUUUGUUCUGCAGAAUUAUGCUUGCAUGUCAUAGGGCCUAAGCUGAAUCAUCUAUGCAUUGACUUUUGCUCUGCAGAAUAAUGCAUGCAUGUCAUAGGACCUAAGCUGGUCACUUUCACUAAUUAGGAUACGGGUUUAACAGCUUAUUACCUUUGUUAAGCAGAUUUGAGCACCUGAGAAACUAAGCACAGAAAGAGCAACUCAGCACCUGACUUCACAUAAGAACUAGGACAUACAGGCCAACUAACCACCAAAAGAAUUCAGACUAUUAGCAAGAUUUAUUUACCUCAAACUCGGCUUUAUUAAAAUUGCUAUUAAUAUGAGGUAAAGUAAUCUUGCUAAUACUCAAGUAUAGCAAGCUAUAAUCACGCAAUGCAAUAAAUUGAAUCUAUAUUAAUAGGAAUAGGAGGAUAGUGCUAAGAUUGUGAUGAUAAUGAUAUAGCCUAGAAGAAUUUGGCAGAGACGGUAGCUAAUAAACUGGUUCUGCUGUAGAUUGUGAUAAUGAUAUAGCCUUAUUUUGCUCUGACAGUAGCUAAUAAAAUGGUUCUGCUAUAGACAGUAUCUUAUAUUGUAUGUUUGAUUUUAUUCACCUAUUUUUAUUGUUGGACUCACGAAGGACAGUUUUGUGAGAGAUUACUAAAUGUAGUUCAUUGCAAAAUUAAGUAUAUUAACCUUACUCAAGGAACAAUAAAAUAUGCUUUUUCUUGUGAACUGCAUAACAUUGUUGCAUGCUUAAUACGAAGUAUAUAUGUGAUUGCAUUUCUCGCAUUCAAAGAAGCAGUAAGGUAUGAGAAUCAAGUGGGAACUUGAUGGUAGAAAAUUAGAGAUCCCACCCUCUCAACUAAGAGGUUGGAGGUUCAAUUCCCAUCACCCCAACCUAUCAAAUAAUCAACUCUCUGGUAAUAUCUCAACUGGUGUAUAUACCUUGAAUAAUAUAAACUAAGUUUUGCUUACUUAGACCUUUUUUUUAGUUGGUUUUUGGAUUACUUAUCAGACUAUAAGGUUAGUAUAUAAAUAUAACUGAGAAUUCUGAAUUUUGUGUCACUUGUGCUGACUGCUGAGUUUUUGUUCUGGUGGAAUUUCUAACUGACUGCCUUGUGUGUUCUUUGUACGAAGAAAGAUUUAGAUGGAAGAAUAUGAGAAACUUAGACAAAAAAAUAUAGAAAAAAAUAGAAUCAGGAUGAAGGAUUUAGGGGUUUUCCAUGGCUUAUGAAAUGAAACAGUCGAUGAAGGGAUCGAAACAAACGAAAAAAAGGAAGAAUGUGACUAAAGAUACUGACGAGUAUACACCUGAUGAAGAGGGUGAACUAAACCACUCAAGUGAAGAGGAUGAAAAUGAGAUCAGGAAAAAUGCUGUAAACUUGAGAUCUCGUUCAAAGAAGGUUGUGGCAUUGAGAGGGAAGAUAACCACAAACACUAAGGACACGGCAUGUGUCUCUUCAGUACUAAUGGCUAAUGAAAUUAAGAUGCAUCUUCAAGACACCGAGAGACAACACUCAGAUCAAGGGUUACAAGGGAGAGAUUCAACACAAAGAAAAAUCCAAUCGGGCAAGUCUACUGCACAGAAAAAAUCAGCAAUCCAUAAUCAGCAAGAGAAAGAGGUUGGGAUUGGGAAUGGUAUCCAAACUAAGACAGGGUAGAGUAAGACAGUGGUUGCCCUUGGUUCACUCAGUGCUUAUAGGCAAAUGCAAACACAGUUACGUGAAAAAGAGAGGAGAGCAAAACAAUGUGAUUUAUUACUACGACCUAUUAACAUGACUAGUUCACAGCCUAUUAACAUGGCUAGUUCAUAUUGGUAUUUAGGGAGUUCACAAGCACAAAGUUUUUCACAACCACAAAGAUUUGGACAUGACUUACAGGAAGAUUAUGAGAAUCAUAUGGGUUCAAAUGAACGCAUUUUGGAACAAUAUGACGAUGAAGAAGAUGCUUUUAGUGAGGAUUUGAGUACUCUUACCCCUGAGGAGCUAGGAAUAAUGCAAGAUGUACCACUAAUGAAUCAAGAGCAAGAAAGUGAACAAAUAGCACCUCCAAAAAGUAAGCAAACUAGAGGACCAACUAUGUGUAAAGAUGUCCAUGAAUGGACAUUAGAGGAGCGUAAGCCUAUUGUUCUUAAUGAAAGAAAGCCUAUUGGUCCCGAUGAUAAGACUGUGAAUACAUUUACAAGAUUAUUAGGGACUUUAGCUCGUAAUUCUUUUCUAGCACCGUUGAACAAGAUUAGUUGGCAUUAUGUUCCAGACAAGGAACAAAUUUGGAGUUACGUGAAGAAGAAAUACAUAAUCUCGGAAAAUGGUAAAGAUUGUGUUUUGUCAUUCGUGGGAAGGCUGUGGCGUAGAUAUAAAUGUAGUGUAAAGGCAACACACUUUACUCCGUACGGCAAUGAUGGUGAUAGGUUGGCAAAUCCACCUAAUACAAUUCCAGAAGCACAUUUCAAAGAGUUGCUAGAAUUUUGGAAUUUGGAACCAGUCUAGGAAGACAACCAAAAGAAUAGGGAAAUAAGUAUAGAUCAAAAAGAUAGGCACACCAUGGGUCCUAUGACUCUAGCGAGGAAACAACAUAAAUUGCAACAACUAGAUGUUGAAAAAAAGCCACCAUCCUUGGCACUCAUGUACAAAUAAAGUCGUAAAAGGAAAGCAGACAAGAAAUACAAAACAUCUUAUGAGCCCACCCAAAGUAACAUUGACAAGAUGGAGGAGGUACAAAUUCAAAGUGAAAUUGAUGGAGAUGUUGCAUACUAUGAAGUAAUGAAUAAACCAAAUAACUUUGGCCAUAGAAAAAAGCAACCAGGGAUAUGUUCACUAAGGGGAAAGAGCAACAAUCCAAUAAUUCCCGAUGAGUUCUUAAAGCCCUAUAAAGACCAAAUUGUGAAAGAAACUGUAGCAAAAUUAAUGAAGACGCUCAAGUAAAUUGAUCCCGAAGUGUUGGAUACUUUGACUGGAUCACUUGAAAAUGUGUCAUCCAAUCUAGAUGUUACAAAUCAUAUUCCCAUUGUACACUCUAAUGAGCAACAACGAAAUGAGCUGUUUUGCUGCUGAAUCUUGCUUAUUCGGUUGCCAACUCAUGUCUACUACUGCUGAAUGCUGCCAAUUCAUGUCUGCUAUUGCUGGAAGCUUCCACUACUGUCUAGUGCUAGUUGCUGCUAAAGACUGCUGAUGACAUUUUCCGUUCUGCUAGCUAGCUGUGUAGCUACUGCUAUACGCUGUUAUUAUCAAUGUUUUUUUAUUGUUAUCGUUGUCUUUUUUGAAAAUUUGGAAGUUUUUUGUUUUUCCUUACUUUUUCCAAGCUAGAGAUCGAACUUAAUAUUCUUUGUGUUUGGAUUAUUAUAUUGUUUGGCCAAACAUUUAAAUUGGUGUUUAUGGAUUUUUUU